rnacentral:rRNA from 1 species
AACAAACGCUGGCGGCGUGCCUAACACAUGCAAGUCGUACGAGAAAGUCGGCUUCGGCCGGUGAGUAAAGUGGCGCACGGGUGAGUAACGCGUGGAUAAUCUGCCCUCCGGUCUAGGAAUAACCAAUCGAAAGGUUGGCUAAUACCCGAUCACACUCUUGCACUGCGGUGCAAUAGUCAAAGAUGGCCUCUGUAUACAAGCUAUCGCCGGGGGAUGAGUCCGCGUACCAUUAGCUGGUUGGUGGGGUAAUGGCCUACCAAGGCGAUGAUGGUUAGCUGGUCUGAGAGGAUGGCCAGCCACACUGGAACUGAGACACGGUCCAGACUCCUACGGGAGGCAGCAGUGAGGAAUCUUGCGCAAUGGGGGAAACCCUGACGCAGCAACGCCGCGUGAGUGAGGAAGGCCCUCGGGUCGUAAAGCUCUGUCAGGUGGGAAGAAAUCGAUGAAGGUGAACAACCUCCAUCCUUGACGGUACCACCAGAGGAAGCACC